rnacentral:tRNA from 2 species
UAUUAAGAUGGCAGAUUAGUGUGUAGGAUUUAAGAUCCUAUUAUGGAAAUUUUUAUUAUUUUCUCUUAAUA